GGAUUAGAUACCCUGGUAGUCCUUGCUGUAAACGAUGUAUACUUGGUGUAGCUGGUCUCAACCCCAGUUGUGCCGUAGCUAACGUGUUAAGUAUACCGCCUGGGGAGUACACUCGCAAGGGUGAAACUCAAAAGAAUUGACGGGGGCCCGCACAAGCAGUGGAGCAUGUGGUUUAAUUCGAUGCAACGCGAAGAACCUUACCCAGACUUGACAUAUAGUGGACAGUUACAGAGAUGUAAUUUUCUUCGGACUGCUAUACAGGUGCUGCAUGGCUGUCGUCAGCUCGUGCUG
rnacentral:rRNA from 1 species